GAAAUGCGAUAUGUAAUGCGAAUUGCAGAAUUCAGUGAAUCAUCAACCUUCGAACGCAGACUGCGCUCUCGGAUAAUCGUGGGAACACGCCUCUUUCAGGGUCAACAAAAGCCAAUCCAGAACGAUACGUAUUAAAGUCAUCGUUUUGGGAUAUUGAGGUGUCUCAGCUAUCACUGGCUGAGUCACUUGAAACAUCGUCAGGAGCUAGAUACCGUGCGAGAUCAAAUCUAACAAGUCUCGAUGGUUGUUACGUUCACCCUUCGUGGCGAAUUUUAUAACCCGUCGAUGACUUCUUGGUCUUCUCCUUUCUAACGUCCUUAUGGAUUUAAUUCCUUCUUUUUUAGACUUGAGAUGAAGCGAUAACCCGCUGACUUUAA
rnacentral:misc_RNA from 1 species